GUAGUCUCGCACAGAUGCAUAUCAAUAAGCGGAGGAAAAGAAACUAACAAGGAUUCCCUUAGUAACGGCGAGUGAAGCGGGAAGAGCUCAAAUUUGAAAUCUUCAAGGUUUUACCUUGGACGAAUUGUAGUUUAAAGAAGUGUUUUCUGUUGAAGUUUUGGUAAAAGUUCUUUGGAAUAGGACAUCAUAGAGGGUGAGAAUCCCGUAUUUGACCAUUAUUUUCAGCUGUGUGAUACACUUUCAAAGAGUCGGAUUGUUUGGGAAUGCAGUCCAAAAUGGGUGGUAAAUUUCAUCUAAAGCUAAAUAUUGGCGAGAGACCGAUAGCGAACAAGUACCGUGAGGGAAAGAUGAAAAGAACUUUGAAAAGAGAGUUAAACAGUACGUGAAAUUGUCAAAAGGGAAGCGUUUGACACCAGUGUUGUUUUCUCGAAAAUCAAUUAAAAAGAGUUUGAUUUUGUUGUGUAUUGACCUUAACAGCUUGCAUUUCAAUUUUCUUGCUUUUUUUAAUGCACUUUUCGUUUAACAAGUCAACAUCAGUUUCUUUUGUUGUAAAAAGGUCAUUGGAAGGUGGCUUUCUUUUCGGAGAAAGUGUUUAUAGCCUUUGACUCCUGCAAUCGGAGAGACUGAGGUCUGCAGCGUAGAUCCUUCGGGGUUAGAUACAUUUGCUGCUAAGUUAUAGCUUUUUAUAGACAACUUGUUGACUAUGAUUAGUCUUGUAGCUUACUCGCUUAUGCUAUUUUACCUACGCUUAGGAUGUUGAGCACAUGUCUCUCUCU
rnacentral:rRNA from 1 species